GUGUCAGGGGAUGGCAACAAAGGAUGGCAGGAACGUGGUGCUGCCAAGGGGCUUGCAUAUUUGGCUUAUAACCUGAUGAGUACAAGGCAGGUGGCAGAGUCUAUGUCAUGCCCUGUGGGGGGUGGAGAGGGAAGGGAAAGAAAGGAGGAAAAAAUAGGACUGGUGCAGAUGGGAAGUGCCAGCUCCUCUUGCUGGAACAGAGCUGUUCGAUUGGGAAACUCAGCCAGAGAAACUUAAAAGGACCAGGACAGGAGAAAACAGAACUGGUCAGCAUCAGCAAGGGGCCUCCCGAUCCUUUCCUCCAAUCUACUUCAUUGCUAUUUUAAAAAAACCUCAUUUUGAUGGGAAAUUAAAUUCAAAUACCCACAAUUUUAAAAAAUGGAGAACAAGCUAGCUAAAUCUCAAUGAUUUUGAGUAAGUAUGUGACUUGGGUGUGUGUGGAGGAAGGAAGGGAGAAAGGGAGAGAGAGAGAGAUUAAAGCAAAAAAAAAAAAAAUACAACCUAGAAAAAACUUGGAACAAAACACACACGAGGUAAUGCCAAAAACUUGAGAAGGAGAGUGGUUACACACUAAUUUAAUUCUCUAAUCCCCCUACUCCUGUCACUGUUUACUCACUGAUAAAUGUGCAGUAGCUUCAGCAAGACAGCCACAUUUGCAGAAACUGACAGCCUGACUCAGAGACUAUUUACCUAAAGACCAUGAAUAUUAAAACAGGUUUCCAAAAGGCCCCCGUCUUGAAGGAGAAGAUUAGCAUGGGGCCUCUUGCUGACAGACUCUUCCCUCUCCACCCCUCCUUCCCCCACUCCGUGAUGCAUCUCUUGUUCAAACACUCGAGAAGUAUCACCUAGCUGGAGAACUGAAAUAUUGGAACAAUGCCCUGGAGCUGUGCAUUCGGCUUUAGCCUGACAGCAGAAACACCCAUCCGUCCAAGAAGAAAGUUGGGGUUGGAUUUUUGGGGUGGGUUUCAGUUUUGUUUUUCUUUGGUUUGGUUUUGGUUUCGGGUUUUGUUCCUUUUAAAUAACUGUUUGAAAACAAAAAUAGACUCAUAUCUUUUUUUGCUGUUUCCCCCCCCCCCGCUUCUUUUGGAAGGUGAAGUAUGAGCACAGAGUCCUUUAAUGGAAUUAGAAAGGCAACAAAAUUAUAUUCGAAAGUCAUGAUCCUUAAAUGAGUUUGACUCUGUCUCCUAUGAUGGUGCACAGAAUUCACCAGAAAGAUAGAAAAAGAGUAAAGUAAAACUAGAAAGGACAGAGAGAAAAAGAUGGCUUUAAAGAUCAGAGGGAAAGCAUAGUUUCUACAGGAUGGGGAAGAUGAAAUGGUCUAGAUACCUCAGCAUGAAUGACCAAACAGAGUGGAAACCAAAUUGAUUUAUAUAAAAAAAAAAAAUGAAAUGUCAAAAGGAUUUUUAAACAGACAGUCAAGAUUCACUUACUUGUAACAUUAAAAAAGUUAAACUGUAUUUGAAAUCAAAGAAUUAUUGCUUGCUUAUGCCAUUCAUAUUUUACUGGCGGAAUUCUUUGCCACAGAACCUUCUGGGGAAUUAAAUUAUUACUAGAUUCAAGAAAACCUUAAGAAAUCUUGGAAAAUAGUGCAAAAAUUGUUUCUAAAGGCCAUGAAUUGUUAGAAGACUGUUAGAAGAAAGGCAAAUUAGCCCUGUUCUGUUUGGCAAUAGGGCUGGAAGCACAAUUUAUUUACACUGACUUAUAUUUCUCUCUCUUGACUGCGUGUGAGGGACACUCCCUUUCCAGGGUGAAACACAGAGACAAGGAUGUGCACGUACAGGCUGGGUGGGCAUUGAGUAUGACUCCCACCCCCUGCUAACUCAUCUCUGAGUGCCUGACAGACCUUGGGGAAAGCAGGGAGACCACAUCUCUUACAGUGGGUGACAACACUGCACCGUGAUGCACUUGUCCUGAUACAGACAGUACUGCUUAUCCCUGGAAACUGGUGAAUAUCCUGGCUCUGGAGACAGUGACAUCCAGUCUCCCUCUCAGAUACAAAUGUGGGUAUCUACACAUGUGGAAUUACAGCAUCCUGGAAGUAAAGACAACAUCCCCUUGAUUCGAGAGGGUCCUUAAGUUUUUAUGAAGUAGAGACAUGCCUGGAUUCCCAAAGGCUGGAAAAAAUCCCCUCCAAGUCCCUGGCCAGCUUCCUGGAAUGCUGGGUUUCUCAGCCUCCUCUCUGCCUCCUCCUCCUCUUUGCCCAGGAGCCAUCACGGGGGCAGAGACAGCCCUGACAGUCAAGCCCUGCUGUGAACCAGGAGGAGCAGAGGAUGCUGGAGAAGCUGGAGUCCAUCCCUCACCCCCUCAGCACAGAUGAAAGGUUUUGCUCCGAGAUGAAUUUGCACAGAAUUAUGGAGAGGAUGAGCUUCUCUAGCGCUAUCCUGCAAUAUGCACAUCAUGCUACAUGUUCAGAAGCUGCUGCAAAUCCCAAUACAGCUGCCACCUUACAGGGCUCCCACAAAUCUUCCUCCCUCAAUUCCCCCAACAUCCCCCACUACAUGUCCUGAUAUGAAUCAUCUUUCACAGCAGGAAAAGAAGCUGAAAUUCCCUGGCAUUUCCUAGAUGUGCUGCUUUAAGGACUGGAGUUGUAGCUCUGACAGUACCUAUCCUUUCACAAGGCCAAAGCUCCCCUUGCUGGGUAAUCUAUUAGAACUGCCAUUAACUGUGGAUUCACUGCACCCAUAUGCAGCCCAAAUCUCCACUCUGGCUUUGAAAAAAUCUGCCCCCAGUGUUAUUCCAUCGUGGUUGUUUGUCUCCUUGUGAACUUAUAAUGAUAAUAAUGAUAAUAAUGAUAGUAAUAAUGAUUGACACUUAUAUGGUACCUUUCAUCCAGAAGGAUCCCAAAAUGCUUUGCAAACUGAUUUGCAAACAACUGCACACCCAUAUUAAGCACCCCAUCCCUAUGUUAAUGCAAUGUUAAUUUUACAAAUGUGAAGUGGCAAAAAAUGGGAAGUGCAAAGACUGCAGCUUCAGGACCAACAUCCAUAUAUGAUGUACCUUGCCUAUGAGGAUCUAUCAUUUACAACAUCACCUGGAAAACGCUGCACAGCAAAUAAUGCUUCCCAAACUGAACGAAAGGUGAUCAAAACCUUGUGCAUCUGGCCAUGAAGGUAAUUGGGUGGAAAUUUUGCUCAGUCCCCUUCCUCAGGUGCUGAUAUGGAAAGCUGAGUUCUCUAAUUUUCUAUUUUUAUUUGCUGCAAUUGAGAGGGCAACAUUAGAUGUAGAUGCCCAACAGUUAGAAGUAAUGUGGCUAAUGAUGCUGCAAUUGGAAGAGGGAGGGAAUGGAAAGAAUCCUGCUGACUUCAGUGAAUGCUGGAUCAAACAUUUGUUGAAAUAUCUGAACAGUAGAAAAAUUCCACUCUCCUACCUUUUUUCUACUUAUUAUUGCUAUUGCAGAUCACUUUGUGUUUCUGCAAAGGGGAAAAACAUUCUUUUCUUUUUUGCACCUUUUUUCUUUGAAACUGUGGAUAAUCUCUUUUGGAACCAGAUCUCACAUGACAAGUUUAAGCUGCAAGGGGUUUUGCAUCAAUUUGGGCUCUGUUCCUCUGUUGAUAGAACAGAUCAGCCCAAUGUUAAUGGUGCAAAUGGUGCUGUUUUCAAUGCACAAUUAACCAAGUCAACACCGUGAUGAAUAAAAAUUAAAGCUGGCAUCAGGAAAGACCCCAUAGAAGUUGAAAUCAGUUGUUCAGGUGCCUAUGACUCUGAAAACAUCCUUAUCUUUCAACAGACACUUUUUGUCCUCCAUGUAAGGUCAAACUACCUACACCAAAAGACUGAAAUAAAAGAGUUUGAAGGAGAGGAAUAUCUGUUUGUGAGUGAAUGGAUUAACAAAAUCAACAGCUCUAACCUUUUUGACUCCAACCACCUGUGAGCUGCUUGUUUGGACCAUCUGGACAGAUGGGAAUUUUUUAUUUUCCUUUUUUCCUCUAUUGGAGGAUGACCUGCUUAAGAGGGUGAAAGUGCACACCAAAACACAAUAGAAGCUGACUGUAUGCACAGGGCAAACACCCACCAACUCAUUGCUACAACUUGUUAGAAGGAAAUCUUAAAACUAAAUCAUGUGUCAGGGCAAUCAUUUCUCACAUAUUGGAAAGUAGAUUCUGACCAUGCAGAUCAUUUAGUGAUUCUGGCAGGAGUUUGGCAUUAAUCUGGACUUGUCUGUCUGAGCUUCUGGCAUAACUUUUAUUGCAGGAUAAAUCUCUCAGCAGAGUGGGGAAAUAUAAGUACAAAUUUAUCUAUCAAGUUCCUUAAGGCUUUUUUCCCUCUGUUUUGAGAGGAUAUUUCCU